AUGGCUCAGGAUGAACGCUAGCUACAGGCUUAACACAUGCAAGUCGAGGGGAAACGAUAUUGGAAGCUUGCUUCUGAUAGGCGUCGACCGGCGCACGGGUGAGUAACGCGUAUCCAACCUGCCCAUCACUUGGGGAUAACCUUGGUGAAAGUUAAGACUAAUACCCAAUGACGUCUCUAGAAGACAGUCUGAAAGAGAUUAAAGAUUUAUCGGUGAUGGAUGGGGAUGCGUCUGAUUAGCUUGUUGGCGGGUAACGGCCCACCAAGGCGACGAUCAGUAGGGGUUCUGAGAGGAAGGUCCCCCACAUUGGAACUGAGACACGGUCCAAACUCCUACGGGAGGCAGCAGUGAGGAAUAUUGGUCAAUGGGCGAGAGCCUGAACCAGCCAAGUAGCGUGCAGGAUGACGGCCCUAUGGGUUGUAAACUGCUUUUAUAAGGGAAUAAAGUGGGAGUCGUGACUCUUUUGCAUGUACCUUAUGAAUAAGGACCGGCUAAUUCCGUG
rnacentral:rRNA from 1 species